UACAGAGGGUGCGAGCGUUGUUCGGAAUUAUUGGGCGUAAAGGGCGCGUAGGCGGCGCCACAAGUCACUUGUGAAAACUCUGGGCUCAACUCAGAGCCUGCAAGCGAAACUGUGGUGCUGGAGUAUGGGAGAGGUGCGUGGAAUUCCCGGUGUAGCGGUGAAAUGCGUAGAUAUCGGGAGGAGCACCUGUGGCGAAAGCGGCGCACUGGACCAUAACUGACGCUGAGGCGCGAAAGCUAGGGGAGCAAACAGG
rnacentral:rRNA from 1 species